rnacentral:rRNA from 1 species
GAUGAACGCUGGCGGCGUGCCUAAUACAUGCAAGUCGAGCGAACAGACGAGGAGCUUGCUCCUCUGACGUUAGCGGCGGACGGGUGAGUAACACGUGGAUAACCUACCUAUAAGACUGGGAUAACUUCGGGAAACCGGAGCUAAUACCGGAUAACAUGUUGAACCGCAUGGUUCAACAUUGAAAGACGGUCUUGCUGUCACUUAUAGAUGGAUCCGCGCCGCAUUAGCUAGUUGGUAAGGUAACGGCUUACCAAGGCAACGAUGCGUAGCCGACCUGAGAGGAUGAUCGGCCACACUGGAACUGAGACACGGUCCAGACUCCUACGGGAGGCAGCAGUAGGGAAUCUUCCGCAAUGGGCGAAAGCCUGACGGAGCAACGCCGCGUGAGUGAAGAAGGUCUUCGGAUCGUAAAACUCUGUUAUUAGGGAAGAACAAAUGUGUAAGUAACUAUGCACGUCUUGACGGUACCUAAUCAGAAAGCCACGGCUAACUACGUG